CACUGGCAGAAAAGAGAUGAAGAUUUCCAGAUAUAGAGACUCACAAGAUAAAGAAGCCCAGAGUCGUUAGACAGAGGAGCAGAUGUACAGGGUGCGCCUGACUCACACUCACGGUUGCAUAAGAAAUAUUAUUUCCUACUUCUGCACACCAAGUUUCUACCUCCAGAUCUGUUUGCUUCAGUUGCUGAGAAGCCUGACCCUCCAGUACCACUUGGGAGAAGCCAUCCACUGGACGGA
rnacentral:lncRNA from 1 species